rnacentral:tRNA from 1 species
AAUCUUAAAAUUUAAACUGCAAAUUUAAUAACGAAUUUAUUUCUAAGAUUU